GGGAGAGGUAGAGGUAACGGGAGAGGUAGAGGUAACGGGAGAGGGGAGGGAGAGGGCGAGAUGGAGGGAGAGGUAGAGGUAACGGGAGAGGUAGAGGUAACGGGAGAGGGGAGGGAGAGGUAGAGGUAACGGGAGAGGGGAGGGAGAGGUAGAGGUAACGGGAGAGGGAGGGAGAGGGCGAGAUGGAGGGAGAGGUAGAGGUAACGGGAGAGGGGAGGGAGAGGUAGAGGUAACGGGAGAGGGGAGGGAGAGGGCGAGAUGGAGGGAGAGGUAGAGGUAACGGGAGAGGGAGAGGGCGAGAUGGAGGGAGAGGUAGAGGUAACGGGAGAGGGGAGGGAGAGGUAGAGGUAACGGGAG
ensembl:lncRNA